rnacentral:rRNA from 1 species
GACGUAGGGCGCGAGCGUUGUCCGGAUUUAUUGGGCGUAAAGGGCGCGUAGGCGGCCUGGCAAGUGGAUGGUGAAAUCCCUCGGCUUAACCGAGGAACUGCCAUCCAGACUGCUUGGCUUGAGACCGGGAGAGGUGAGUGGAAUUCCCAGUGUAGCGGUGAAAUGCGUAGAUAUUGGGAGGAACACCAGUGGCGAAGGCGGCUCACUGGACCGGUACUGACGCUGAUGCGCGAAAGCGUGGGGAGCAAACGGG